AGGCUGAUAGCUCAGAGGAUAGAGCAACAGACUCCGAUUCUGUAAGUCGAGGGUUCAAACCCCUCUUGGCCUU
rnacentral:tRNA from 1 species